rnacentral:tRNA from 1 species
GGGAAUGGAGGAGUCCUGGUGGACUCUCUGGACUUCAAAUCCAGUAACGGGCAGUGUAUGUCCGUGGUGGGUUCGAUUCCCAUGCAUUCCCGCCA